rnacentral:rRNA from 1 species
CUACGGAGGGUGCGAGCGUUACUCGGAGUCACUGGGCGUAAAGCGUCCGUAGGCGGUCGGGUAAGUCGGGUGUGAAAGCCCCGGGCUCAACCUGGGAAGUGCACCCGAUACUGCUCGACUCGAGUGCGGGAGAGGAUGGCGGAAUUCCCGGUGUAGCGGUGAAAUGCGUAGAGAUCGGGAGGAACACCAGUGGCGAAGGCGGCCAUCUGGCCCGCAACUGACGCUGAGGGACGAAAGCGUGGGGAGCAAACAGGAUUAGAAACCCCAGUAGUCC